CUGAGGUAAUGGAGACCUGUAGGGCUGAGGUAACGGAGACCUGUAGGGCUGAGGUAAUGGAGACCUGUAGGGCUGAGGUAAUGGAGACCUGUAGGGCUGAGGUAACACCAUGGGUAAUGGAGACCUGUAGGGCUGAGGUAAUGGAGACCUGUAGGGCUGAGGUAAUGGAGACCUGUAGGGCUGAGGUAACACCAUGGGUAAUGGAGACCUGUAGGGCUGAGGUAACACCAUGGGUAGGGGUAAUGGAGGCCUGUAGGGCUGAGGUAAUGGAGACCUGUAGGGCUGAGGUAAUGGAGACCUGUAGGGCUGAGGUAACACCAUGGGUAAUGGAGACCUGUAGGGCUGAGGUAACACCAUGGGUAGGGGUAAUGGAGACCUGUAGGGCUGAGGUAAUGGAGGCCUGUAGGGCUGAGGUAACACCAUUCCAAGUAACUGAAAACAGUCUGUACCUACAGAACAAGGACUGGUGGUGUCUGUCCACACAUCUACACUUCUAGAGUACAACACCCUCCAUCUACCCACCCAUCCCUAUUUCUAUCCCUUACUCACUCCCUCCAUCUACCCCUCCCUAUUUCUAUCCCUUACUCACUCCCUCCACCCAGCCCUCCCCC
rnacentral:lncRNA from 1 species